rnacentral:rRNA from 1 species
AACGAACGCUGGCGGCAUGCCUAACAUAUGCAAGUCGAACGAGACCUUCGGGUCUAGUGGCGCACGGGUGCGUAACGCGUGGGAACCUGCCCUUAGGUUCGGAAUAACUCCCCGAAAGGGGUGCUAAUACCGGAUAAUGUCUUCGGACCAAAGAUUUAUCGCCUUUGGAUGGGCCCGCGUUGGAUUAGCUAGUUGGUAGGGUAAAAGCCUACCAAGGCGACGAUCCAUAGCUGGUCUGAGAGGAUGAUCAGCCACACUGGGACUGAGGCACGGCCCAGACUCCUACGGGAGGCAGCAGUGGGGAAUAUUGGACAAUGGGCGAAAGCCUGAUCCAGCAAUGCCGCGUGAGUGAUGAAGGCCUUAGGGUUGUAAAGCUCUUUUACCCGGGAUGAUAAUGACAGUACCGGGAGAAUAAGCUCCGGCUAACUCCGUG